UACGGAGGGGGCGAGCGUUAUUCGGAAUUAUUGGGCGUAAAGGGCGCGUAGGCGGCUUGCUAAGUCAAAGGUGAAAUCCCUCGGCUCAACUGAGGAACUGCCUUUGAAACUAGCGAGCUUGAGGCCGGGAGGGGGUAGCGGAAUUCCCAGUGUAGCGGUGAAAUGCGUAGAUACUGGGAGGAACACCAGUGGCGAAGGCGGCUACCUGGACCGGUUCUGACGCUGAGGCGCGAAAGCGUGGGGAGCAAACAGG
rnacentral:rRNA from 1 species